CAGGAAGUCCACACUGGGAUGGUGAUUCUGAGGAGAUGCUGAGAGGGCCUGGCGACAGAAUGGAAUCUCAUGGAAGUUCUGUGAGGCUAGCAAAAGGCAGUUUGCCAAAUAUCUUCACCUUCUCAUCCUCUGGGUCAUAACCUCAGAGAUGCAUCUCCUGCUUUUGCACUUUGUGAUCCACAUCCCACACUCAGGGAGGAUCUGCUUCACACUGGAUGGACAUCCAGAGGACCUGCUGCAGCUUAUAGAG
rnacentral:lncRNA from 1 species